AGCAGCCGCCGCGGUAAUACGUAGGUGGCAAGCGUUGUCCGGAAUUAUUGGGCGUAGAGCGCGCGCAGGCGGUUUCUUAAGUCUGAUGUGAAAGCCCCCGGCUUAACCGGGGAGGGUCAUUGGAAACUGGGAGACUUAGAGUGCAGAAGAGGAGAGUGGAAUUCCAUGUGUAGCGGUGAAAUGCGUAGAUAUAUGGAGGAACACCAGUGGCGAAGGCGACUCUCUGGUCUGUAACUGACGCUGAGGUGCGAAAGCGUGGGGAGCAAACAGGAUUAGAUACCCCCGUAGUCCCUGUCUCUUAUA
rnacentral:rRNA from 1 species